GGUAGCCGAGCCAGGCCAAAGGCGCAGGCUUGAGGGGCCUGUCCCGUAGGGGUUCGCGAGUUCAAAUCUCGCCCCCUGCA
rnacentral:tRNA from 1 species